UAGUGUGGCGGAGUGGGAAGAUGGCUGUAACAGCGGAUUGGAUGCAUGUCCCCUCCAAUAUGCGGCUAACCAACCGAGGGUCUGGUGUCCGUUCUGAAAGAGCAGCGGACCGAAUAUUUACCAGCACUUUUAGCGAAUUACCGGGAGCACGGCGUGUUCUCGACACAGAGUACUGGAGCUGUCGGUGGUCUCGUGGGAAUCAGCAACGCCAAACUCGGCAACAGCAAAACCAAGUUCGAGGGGCUGUCUUCUCUGUGCUGGUCAAAGACAGUUCUAGUGAUGCGUUCCAACAACACUGUCUCUUAUGGCUACGGUCCCUACAACAGGUCAUACAGUCCAAGGACCCCCCUCCCGUCCGUCCAGCUAGCGGUGGGGGUCCUCCAGGACCUGCUCCAUUAUUCCUCCCAGCUACCUGAGCUGGCCAGGGAGGUGGGCCUCAACUCUAUCCUGGGGAUCCUCACCUCGCUGCUAGGCCUCAAGUCUGAGUGUCACCUAGCUACCAUUGAGGGGAUGACUGCAUGUAUGACCUAUCCCUGAGCCUGUGGCUCCCUGAGGGACAAACUGGGUGCCUAUUUCUUAGCCAAAAUGGACAGCGCCAACCCAAAAGUACAAGAGAAGGGACAGUGCAGUAUGAAGGGCCAGGUGUAGAGCUGCCCUACUCUCCUCUGCAUGACACAGACCCCCUCCUCCUGCUGCAGUUACAACACAGACACAGAGCUGCCUGCCUGGCUCUCAAACACACACUCCGUGUGGACCCGGCCUCUGCAGUGCGUCUACCUGUACAGCAGGUGCUCAAUCUGGUCUGUCGCGUCCUGGCGGUCAGCUCCAAGAGCAUAAAUGUAACAGCUGAUGGGUGUGUGAAGCUGCUGGUGUUGCCUGCCAUACACAAAGAUACUCUGCGGGUGCUGCACGCUCUCAUCACAGCUUUAGGCAGUGCAGUAUUCCAGUGUGCUACAGAGACUGUUCUCUCAGACCCUGUCUGCCUGGACCCCUCUACCUGAAACCAGCCUGGGACAACAGAGAGCAUUCAGUGCAGUGCGUGGGCCCUUGUACCGUACCUUAGAACUCUGGGUAAGAGUGGGAGGAGCCUCAGACAGUGUCUUGCAGGGAAGCCCCACCCACUCUGAGCUCCUACGGUCCCACCUGCUGGGUGACAACACACCCUUGGCGGACUCUGUUAGGCCCACCAGCUCUCCUCAGCUCCGUGAUCUGGUUUCCAAAAAGCCCUGCUCUAAAAGCCGGAAGCCUGGAUUGGCUGUGAGCGACAAGGGCGGCGCCUCUUUCCAGAGGAAAGGAGACUCGCUGGCCAAUCAGGACACCUGCCUGUCUGCACUCAGAGCAUUGAGACAAGUCAUACUGACCAGUGGAUCUCUACUGAAGGAGGAUAUACACAAGGUAUCCUCCUUCUGUACAGAGGCCCUGACCAUAUGCAACUCCCUCCUCCAUCCGCGCCCCCCCUCCCUCUCUUUUCCCCUCACCCUCAAACCCCCCCCCAGGCAUCCAACCUCCUAAGGGGGCCUGCCCCCGGACCUCCCUUCCCCAGCUCUCUGGACAACCACCUACCUCUGGUUCUUCCAGUGCUCUCCGGCGGCCAGAGACCCGUUUUCAUCCUCUACGACAAAGAAGAGGCGUCGGAUGUGGAGAUUUCGCUAGAGAGCGAUUCGGACGAUGGUGUGGUCAUCGUGCCACAGAGGAUGCGGAUGUUGGAAAGCCAAGAUGGCACCAGCUCUGCGGCCACUCUUCCCGGUCUUCCUUAGCACCAGGUGGCGUCACACUCCCCAUGCCCUGUCAAAAAGGCGACCCGGGUGGGGACAUCUCCCUCCCCCUUUCCAACGACCUUCCCUCUACCUCCCUCCCUCACCCUCUCCUCCCCUCCUCCACCCCAAACUACACCGUCAACUUGUUCCCUCCAUCUCCGCUAGUCUCUCUGGUUCCCCCUCUCAACUCCACCGGUGUGGCCCAACUCGGGGAACCCUCUGUGGGGUUAGGAGUCGGGACUGACUCCCUGCCUGGAGCCCAGCUCCAGCAGAUGUUGCUCCACAGCCUCCAGCACCUGGUCAACCUACAGCACUAGAUCUUCCCAUACAGGUUCACCAGAACCAGUUAGCCCAGUCCAGCAGAGCCCUACAGCGGCAACAGCAAUCCAUUGACGAAGAUCACACGAUCAUUAAUAUCAACAGCUCUGAUGAAGAAGAGGAGGAUGAGUUGGAAGAGGAAGAGAACGGUUUCCCAGAUGAGGAUAUUUGAUGGAGACCUUGAUGAUUAUAAGGGGGAGGAGAUGGAGGAUGAAGAAGAGGGAGAGAUUCGGCUGUUGGACGGAGAAGGGAGGAUGAGAGGAAGGAGAGGUGCUCAGAGGGUUGGCGGAGGGAGGGAUAGGAGGAUUCCGAGUGGAGAGCGAGGGGGAAGGAAGGAUAAAGGCUCAGGAGGUAGAGAGCAUCGGAGUGCUGGAGGAAGAGGGAGAGGAGGAUGCCAAUGAAGGAAUGAAUGACCCGAACAUGCCUCAGAUCCUGUGUGUGACGGGCGGAGCUCUGAGAGAGAGCUUGCUCAGGCAGAGCUAGAUGAGGAAGGGGCCGGGCAUGGGCAGAAAGUGAGGUCAUGGGAGCAGAAGGGAGGUUAUCGGCCGGAGGGAACGUCCUCUUCUGAAGACGGUCCUGCUGCUCAACACCAACAGGAGGCGGAGCCUGCACCGGAAGUGAGGGUGGACGGUGACGAUCAGCCAUCCAAUCAGGAGGGAGAAAUAUCCAAACAGGGCGGCGAUAAUACCGGACAGGAGGUCAUCAACAGCUCAGAGGGAGAGCAAGGGAGAGGGGCCUGAACGAGAGAAAGAAAGAGAGGAUGGGAGAGGGAUGAAGAGAAAGAGAGAGAAGGAAGGAACAGAGAAGAAAAAGAAUUGGCCAACAAAAGCUAUCUAACAACCCACACUCUCUCUCAGUUGGGUGAAGAAGCGAUGGCGUCCAAGCUAGCCGACAUCGUAGCCUGCCCUCCAGACAAUGUGCCCUCUGGAUCCAACCGCCCAUCCGAAACAAGGCCAGGCACGGCUCCAUCACAAUACCUACAGAACAACUCGAUUUCUAGCCCCUUCCAUAGUCUCACACAUUCUUUCAUUAUCAACAUACUGCUAAGACAAUGUUCAACACAUUGAGGCUGGGUUUAGACGGGCACCCCAAUUCUGAUCUUUUUUCCACUAAUUUGUCUUCGUUUUAUUUUUAUAUGUUUUUUUACACCCCUUUUUCUUCCCAAUUUCAUGGUAUCCAAAUGGUAGUUUGUUUUGUCUCAUGCAACUCCCGUACGGACUCGGGAGAGGCGAAGGUCGAGAGCCGUGCGUCCUCCGAAAACACGACUCAACCAAGCCGCACUGCUUCUUGACACAAUGCCCGCUUAACCUGGAAAGCUAGCCGCACCAAUGUGUCGGAGGAAACACUGUGCACCUGGUGACCGUGUCAGUGUGUACUGCGCCCGGCCCGCCACUGGAGUCUCUAGUGCUCGAUGGGACGAGGACAUCCCUGCCGGCCAAACCCUCCCUAACCUGGACGACGCUGGGCCAACUGUGCGCCGUCCCAUGGGUCUCCCGGUCACGGCCGGCUGCGACAGAGCCUGGACUCAAACCCAGAAUCUCUAGUGGCACAGCUUAGCACAGCGAUGCCGAGCCUUAGACCACUGCGCCACUCGGGAGGCCUCUCACUAAUUGGUCUUUUGACCAAUCGCAUCAGAUCUUUUUCAGAGCUGAUCUAAUUGUUCAAAAGCCAGAUUUAGUGAAAGAAAUAUCAGAACUGGGCUGCCUGUGUAAACACAGCCAGCCAUAGAGGUUGGAAUUAGAUUGGUCUUAAACGAUCACGUUUCGUCUUGAAUGCAGGACAGUAGAUUUAUUUGUAAUACAACUCUCUGGACUAUUAUUAUUUAAAAAACGCUUCAAUUAUUUUACAUCAAAACAUAAAGACUUUGCAGCUCGUACUGGUGUGUGCUGUGUUAGUGAGUGUAGUAGUAGUGUGUUUUUGGAUCUUUAUAGACAGUAUAUGACUUCUGUUCUUUUUGUUCUCCCGUCUUUUCUUACAAAAUAAACGUCAAAAGCAGUUAUCCGUUUCGA